rnacentral:rRNA from 1 species
ACUCAAAGGAAUUGACGGGGGCCCGCACAAGCAGUGGAGUAUGUGGUUUAAUUCGAAGCAACGCGAAGAACCUUACCAGGUCUUGACAUCGAGUGACGAGCUAAGAGAUUAGCUUUUCCUUCGGGACACGAAGACAGGUGGUGCAUGGUUGUCGUCAGCUCGUGUCGUGAGAUGUUGGGUUAAGUCCCGCAACGAGCGCAACCCUUAUUGUUAGUUGCUACGCAAGAGCACUCUAGCAAGACUGCCGUUGAUAAAACGGAGGAAGGUGGGGACGACGUCAAAUCAUCAUGCCCCUUAUGACCUGGGCUACACACGUACUACAAUGGCAAUCAAACAGAGGGAAGCCAAACAGCGAUGUUGAGCAAAUCCCAAAAAAUUGUCCCAGUUCGGAUUGUAGGCUGCAACUCGCCUACAUGAAGUCGGAAUUGCUAGUAAUCGCAGGUCAGCAUACUGCGGUGAAUACGUUCCCGGGCCUUGUACACACCGCCCGU